rnacentral:lncRNA from 1 species
GUGGGUGUCUCUGUUGACUUGUCUGUUCUGUUAUCAUGCUGCUACCCGACUGUGCAAAGUAGUUUAGGGUGGCCAGAACCCAGGGACCAUUGGAUUUCAAAGCUUGCUUUUUCUGUUCUCUCUUCUCUCUCCCUGUCUCCCUGUCUCUCCCAUUCUCCUGCCCAUGCAUGAAAGUGUCCUCCACCUUCUUCCCACCCAGAGCUCCCUCCGGGCCUUUCUCUCUAUAUUUAUUUAUCUGACAUACAGAACGCGACCUCAGUGAGCAGCGUGCUGACAGUCAUGAUCCUCUUCUUUGGGUCUGUGUUUUGAGACAGGUUGAGUUCAGGGUGAGACAGCCUGCCGCACAUCCAAGGGUACGACCAGUGGGACCCUGGCCUGAGUCUGUUCCCCGAGGGGCCUCCAGCGGCAUCUGUUCCUCCCUGCAGCUGUGUCUUUCUUGUCCUGGGUUUACGAUGCAGGUGGGCCAGGCAGGUGUCAUUAGAGGAGGCACCCACUUCAACAGGAGGGCCACAGUGGGGACACAGAGUCCAGCACCUGAGCCCUCCACCCUCCCCAUUCUCGUUGGUUCCAUCGUCCACACUUAGAACCUCCCAGGAUCCCUUGGACUCUGUGCCCCAACUUGUCACGGCAGCCUGAGCCUACCCACCCCAGGAGAGGAGGGCUGGCAGGAACAUCUGCCUAUUCCGGGGGUGGCGUUGGCCCCAAAGAGGCUUCACCAGCAAAGGAACUGUGUGCAUUUUAAUACUGGGGGACGGAGGACAUGUGAGCUGCUCAGCUAGGUCUGCCCAAAGCCUAAGACUCAGUUUCCUUUUUCUUUUGCUUCUGCCCAUCCUUAACAACUAACAGCUCAACCCACACCUCUAGACAACAGUAGUUGUGCUUUCUGCUAAUGGUAACAUUUUCAGCUCUUAAAAAGAAGCUAGAGAUUUUCAAAUGCUAGAGUGUCUCUAUCAGAAGGGAUGGGACAUUGUGUCCAAAGCCUCAAGAACAAACCACACUUUCCUUCUGACCUGGUCCCCAAAGGUCAGCAAAGAGCAAGCAGGCAGAGGCCCUCAUAAGGACUCUUCUGUCCUCCUUUGGCCAAACUGUUUAACCGAGCCUAGGGGUGAGGGGGAGCGACCCGAGCUGACAUCUUUCUCCAUGGAGAGAGAUUUUAGAAAAUACUUUUCUCGCCCAUGAAUUUCAUUUUUGGUUGAUUUUUAUUGUUUUCCCUUUACUUACAAGAAAAUAAGAUUGCAACCACUCCUGGUAAUGAUUUAGUAGUUCCUUUUCAUUUCAGUUUUUGUAAAUUAGGAGAUAAUUCUAAGAGUUACUAAAGGAUGAUUUAUUUAAGAGAACUACGUCAAAUAGCGAAUGAGUUAUGGGUAACAUUAGAUGAAAAUAACCUUUCCCGUGGGAAAGGCUUCUCGAAGGCAUGGAUGCAAAUAUAAAAUAUUAAAAAAAAAUCUAAAUAAAGCUUAUUUUAAAAUAU